rnacentral:lncRNA from 1 species
AGUGAGAAUGCAGAGGCUCUUUCUCAACUUUUGACCUUGGCACGGUGGAUACAGACUGUCCUUGCAAGAAUAUCAGGUUAUAAUAUGAAACACGCUAAAGGUUUGUAGGAAUCUAUUUGUACUGGACAUUUGAAAAUUAUUUCUAAAUAUUUAACUUUUUAAAAAUUGAAUUGUAUGUUUCUGAGUGAUCCACUUUAUGUAUGUCUGUGGGACACUCUAUGACUUGGGGCCCUCAGAGACUUGAAAAGGACACUGGAUCUCCAGAACUGAAAUUAAAAAGUUGUGAGCUUGGUCCUCUGGGAGAGCCGUCAGUACCCUAAACCACUGAGCCAUCUCUACAGCCCCCUAAAUCUUUAAUUUUUUUUGCAAGUAAUUAUUAUGCUAAAAUAUGAUUUGAAAGUACAGAUUUGUUAAAUAUCAGGAAAUAGAGAUUUUGAGUCCAAGACUUUUUGGCUAUCGGUUUACUCAGUUCAAUCAUUUUUCAUAAUGGAAAACAGAACAGUGUAUAAUGUUCUGUCUUAAUAUUAAUAAAAAUGUAUUAAAGCUGUAUCCUUAUGUAUAUAUUUUUUACAGCUGAAUGACAAUGUUGCCAUGGAGAUAGGCUU